AUGCUUCUACAGUGCCACACACAACUACGACUGCAAUCAUCCUCAUUAAAGAUGCAUCUAUCUGGAGACUACAAGCCCCACAAUGCAAUGGGGAAAUCCUUUCAAAAAGAGCUGCUUUUUGCUCUGGACCUUGGUCUUCAGUCCCUGCCUGCACAAUGUAGCUGUGCGGACAUCACUGGCAAAAUACUAAUGGUGGUAACACCUGGUGGUCCUACUUGUCUUCCAAAGAUACAUUUCUGGUAUGACAUGUUCCCAACUUGCUGCGUAGCAAUGACUGGAUGGGUGCUCAUGAAGGAGAUGUCUCAUUUCUCAUUUGUGGCUGGGAAGUCACCAGGACGCUUUCCUGAAGGACAUGUAGCCAGCUCUGCUCGCCUGGCGCGGCACUGUCCCAGCCCAGGCCAGAGACCCCUGUUCCCAGAGAAGAAUGUGCCCAAAAGAGAAGAGCUGGUCACUUGGGAAGAACUGCCUUUUGCAGUGGCUGACAGUCACAGAGACCAUUUGUGUCCCAAGGCCCGAACUCUGUCAUCUUUUGCCCCAUGUAGAAGGACAGCGGUAUGGAGCUGA
rnacentral:lncRNA from 1 species